AAAGAUAUUAAGAAUUAUUUUAGUCAAAAUAGGUAGUUAUUUUUAAUUUAUGUUUUAAAUGGGUAGUUUUUUUUAUUCAGAAUUUGUGUAGGUAGUUAUUUUUAAGUUAAAGAUAUAGUUGAAAAUUUAUUUUUGUAUAAUAUAUUUGAACGAUAAAAUGUAUCUGGGGAUGGUUAUGCUACGUGACAUGUGUACCUCCUCCCCCCCCACCUCCCGAACACCCUCCCUCGCGGUUCUUUUAAAUUACAAUCCAUGUUUGGUCCCUCAUGUUUCAAAAAGUUAAAAAAGAAAUUCUAUUUUGUUUUUCUUGGAAGAGAUCCAAAUCUCAUGGUACUUCACUCUGGGCAUGACAGGAUGCCAACCGGUCCUUACCCGCUCCAGAACAUUGGCUUCUUGUUGUAGGCUUGCGUGCUAACCAUACAAUGUGUCGUGACCCCAUGCAGGAGGAAUAAAUUCCAUGCGACCAUAGCUGGUGGGCAGGCCCGACAUUUGGACCAUGUGACGUACACUGGCUCGAGUUCAAGGCCAAGUCCACAUUGAACUUUAUUGGUUUCGUCUCUUGACCGCUGGAAAUAUGAUUCCCAACUCCAGUCGAUAUACUCCUGCAGUUCGCUACUCUACGUCAAUUGAUUUCUCUUUAUCCGAACGAUCUCUCUCUUUUCGUCA